AGAGUUUGAUCCUGGCUCAGAUUGAACGCUGGCGGCAUGCCUUACACAUGCAAGUCGAACGGUAACAGGUCUUCGGAUGCUGACGAGUGGCGAACGGGUGAGUAAUACAUCGGAACGUGCCCGAGAGUGGGGGAUAACGAAGCGAAAGCUUUGCUAAUACCGCAUACGAUCUCAGGAUGAAAGCAGGGGACCGCAAGGCCUUGCGCUCACGGAGCGGCCGAUGGCAGAUUAGGUAGUUGGUGGGAUAAAAGCUUACCAAGCCGACGAUCUGUACAGACUCCUACGGGAGGCAGCAGUGGGGAAUUUUGGACAAUGGGCGCAAGCCUGAUCCAGCCAUGCCGCGUGCAGGAUGAAGGCCUUCGGGUUGUAAACUGCUUUUGUACGGAACGAAAAGACUCCUUCUAAUAAAGGGGGUCCAUGACGGUACCGUAAGAAUAAGCACCGGCUAACUACGUGCCAGCUGCCGCGGUAA
rnacentral:rRNA from 1 species